CCAGACUCCUACGGGAGGCAGCAGUGGGGGAUAUUGCACAAUGGGGGGAACCCUGAUGCAGCGACGCCGCGUGGGUGAAGAAGCGCCUCGGCGCGUAAAGCCCUAUCGGCAGGGAAGAAGGAGGACGGUACCUGACUAAGAAGCCCCGGCUAACUACGUGCCAGCAGCCGCGGUAAUACGUAGGGGGCAAGCGUUAUCCGGAUUUACUGGGUGUAAAGGGGGCGCAGACGGCAGCGCAAGCCAGGAGUGAAAGCCCGGGGCCCAACCCCGGGACUGCUCUUGGAACUGCGCGGCUGGAGUGCAGGAGGGGCAGGCGGAAUUCCUAGUGUAGCGGUGAAAUGCGUAGAUAUUAGGAGGAACACCAGUGGCGAAGGCGGUCUGCUGGACAGCAACUGACGCUGAGGCGCGAAAGCGUGGGGAGCAAACAGGAUUAGAUACCCCGGUAU
rnacentral:rRNA from 1 species